UUUCCAGGGCAGCUCCGCUCCAGUUUUCCACCCUCCUCUCCAGUGCUCCUUCUCCAUCGUCUCGGCCCUUUCCUCCUCCGCCGCCUGAGCAGCAAAUGCUAACGUCCUGAGGGACUCUAGCCAGGCCUCUAUUACACCACGGGGCUGCCUUGGCCCCGAUCCGCCACGCAGGACUAGGGCGCACACUCUCGGGUCUCAGCGAGCCUCCGACUCGGAGAACCCCGCAGCCCGAGACUGCAACGUGAGUGCAGGACAGUAGGAACUGUCCACACACAGAUAGCCUCUUCCCCGGAGAAGGAAGGAGACCGCCAAGCUGGAGUCAACGCUGAGAAGGGGACCGACACGGGCGCCACGCGCGACCGAGAGGCCGAGGGACGUCCCGGAUCUGCUCCUUCAGCACCGCCCCAGGCAGUGGGCAUCAUGCGCGCCGCCCCCUCCCGGCCCCGGAGAGGAUGUCCCGGCGAGCGUACGGGGCCUGGACAGAGGCAGCGCCGCCGCGGCUGCAGCGGCGCGGACAGCGUGAGAAAGAGGGACACUCACCCGCGUCAGCCCCGAGCCCUCACAGCACCGGAAGUAGUCACCCGCCCGUUGCUAGGGUGAGGAAGCGGGGCUGACGUCAAGCUUUUCCAUUGGGCAUGCGCGUAGCCACAUGGCCGGAAGCCUACGCCCACGCGCUGCUCGGACUCUGCCCACGGCUAGCGAACGUUUCACCUGGCUGCAGGAGUUCCGCGCCGAGUUCACCUGGAGCUUCGUUCUGGGCUGCGCAGGCGCUGAUGCCCAUCUCUUCUCACCCAGCCUCUUGAUGAGCCGGUCACCUGUGACUUAACUGAUCCCAGUGGUUUGGCAGACCAGCGAUCCCAGCCACCAUGCUCUGAGGAAGCACAAGCAGCCUCAUGGGAAAACCAAUCAUUGACAUUGUGACCAACAGCUCCAGAUAAGGUCCCAGCUGGCAGCCAGCACCAACUACCAGACAUGCAAUUGAAUUGGCCUUCAGAAGAUUCCAGUCCUCAGCCAUGGAUUAACUAACUUCCAGCCUUUGAGUCUUCCUGGCUUAGAUGUCAUGAGCAGAAACAGGGCAUCUCCACUUGCCCUUUCCAAAUCUUGAUAAUAAUAACAAUAAAAUGGCUUUUGUUUUAUAUUUA